CCUGACUGCUAUCGGAUUGAUACUAAGCCAUGCGAGUCAUUGUAGCAAUACAAGGCAGACGGCUCAGUAACGCGUAGUCAACCUACCCUAUGGACGGGGAUAACCUCGGGAAACUGAGAAUAAUACCCGAUAGAACAUUAUACCUGGAAUGGUUUAUGUUUCAAAUAAUUUAUUGCCGUAGGAUGGGACUGCGGCCUAUCAGUUUGUUGGUGAGGUAAUGGCCCACCAAGACUAUUACAGGUACGGGCUCUGAGAGGAGUAGCCCGGAGAUGGGUACUGAGACACGGACCCAGGCCCUAUGGGGCGCAGCAGGCGAGAAAACUUUGCAAUGUGCGAAAGCACGACAAGGUUAAUCCGAGUGGUUUCUGCUAAAGGAACCUUUUGUCAGUCCUAGAAACACUGAUGAAUAAGGGGUGGGCAAGUUCUGGUGUCAGCCGCCGCGGUAAAACCAGCACCUCAAGUGGUCAGGAUGAUUAUUGGGCCUAAAGCAUCCGUAGCCUGCUUUGUUAGUCUUCGGUUAAAUCCAUACGCUCAACGUAUGGGCUGCCGGGAAUACUGCAAAGCUAGGGAGUGGGAGAGGUAGACGGUACUCGGUAGGAAGGGGUAAAAUCCUUUGAUCUAUUGAUGACCACCUGUGGCGAAGGCGGUCUACCAGAACACGUCCGACGGUGAGGGAUGAAAGCUGGGGGAGCAAACCGGAUUAGAUACCCGGGUAGUCCCAGCUGUAAACUAUGCAAACUCGGUGAUGCAUUGGCUCGAUGCCAAUGCAGUGCCGCAGGGAAGCCGUUAAGUUUGCCGCCUGGGAAGUACGUACGCAAGUAUGAAACUUAAAGGAAUUGGCGGGGGAGCACCAACAAGGGGUGAAGCCUGCGGUUC
rnacentral:rRNA from 1 species